rnacentral:rRNA from 1 species
GAUGGACGCUGGCGGCGUGCCUAAUACAUGCAAGUCGAGCGAACGGACGAGAAGCUUGCUUCUCUGAUGUUAGCGGCGGACGGGUGAGUAACACGUGGAUAACCUACCUAUAAGACUGGGAUAACUUCGGGAAACCGUAGCUAAUACCGGAUAAUAUUUUGAACCGCAUGGUUCAAAAGUGAAAGACGGUCUUGCUGUCACUUAUAGAUGGAUCCGCGCUGCAUUAGCUAGUUGGUAAGGUAACGGCUUACCAAGGCAACGAUGCAUAGCCGACCUGAGAGGGUGAUCGGCCGCACUGGAACUGAGACACGGUCCAGACUCCUACGGGAGGCGGCAGUAGGGAAUCUUCCGCAAUGGGCGAAAGCCUGACGGAGCAACGCCGCGUGAGUGAUGAAGGUCUUCGGAUCGUAAAACUCUGUUAUUAGGGAAGAACAUAUGUGUAAGUAACUGUGCACAUCUUGACGGUACCUAAUCAGAAAGCCACGGCUAACUACGUG